rnacentral:rRNA from 1 species
GGCGGCAGCUUACCAUGCAAGUCGAGCGGUAACAGGGGGUGCUUGCACCCCGCUGACGAGCGGCGGACGGGUGAGUAAUGCAUAGGAAUCUGCCCAGUAGUGGGGGAUAGCCCGGGGAAACCCGGAUUAAUACCGCAUACGCCCUUUGGGGGAAAGCAGGGGAUCUUCGGACCUUGCGCUAUUGGAUGAGCCUAUGUCGGAUUAGCUAGUUGGUGGGGUAAAGGCCUACCAAGGCGACGAUCCGUAGCUGGUCUGAGAGGAUGAUCAGCCACAUCGGGACUGAGACACGGCCCGAACUCCUACGGGAGGCAGCAGUGGGGAAUAUUGGACAAUGGGGGCAACCCUGAUCCAGCCAUGCCGCGUGUGUGAAGAAGGCUUUCGGGUUGUAAAGCACUUUCAGUGAGGAGGAAAACCUUCUGGUUAAUACCCAUGAGGCUUGACGUUACUCACAGAAGAAGCACCGGCUAACUCCGUGCCAGCAGCCGCGGUAAUACGGAGGGUGCAAGCGUUAAUCGGAAUUACUGGGCGUAAAGCGCGCGUAGGUGGUUUGAUAAGCGAGAUGUGAAAGCCCCGGGCUUAACCUGGGAACGGCAUUU